UACGUAGGGUGCGAGCGUUAAUCGGAAUUACUGGGCGUAAAGGGUGCGCAGGUGGUUGUGUAAGUCUGAUGUGAAAGCCCCGGGCUCAACCUGGGAACGGCAUUGGAGACUGCACGGCUAGAGUGCGUCAGAGGGGGGUGGAAUUCCGCGUGUAGCAGUGAAAUGCGUAGAGAUGCGGAGGAACACCGAUGGCGAAGGCAGCCCCCUGGGAUGACACUGACACUCAUGCACGAAAGCGUGGGGAGCAAACAGG
rnacentral:rRNA from 1 species